rnacentral:rRNA from 1 species
CCCAAUCCUGACACAGGGAGGUAGUGACAAUAAAUAACAAUGCCGGGCCUUUACAGGUCUGGCAAUUGGAAUGAGAACAAUUUAAAUCCCUUAUCGAGUAUCAAUUGGAGGGCAAGUCUGGUGCCAGCAGCCGCGGUAAUUCCAGCUCCAAUAGCGUAUAUUAAAGUUGUUGCAGUUAAAAAGCUCGUAGUUGGUUUUCAGUCUGGGGUGGCGAAGCACUCACAACGUGAGUGACUUCUGCCUUCCUGGACUUCCUUGGUGAGAAUCUGUUUGGUAUUAAGUUAUCGGGCAGAGGAUAACCAUCGUUUACUGUGAAAAAAUUAGAGUGUUUAAAGCAGGCUUAUGCCGUUGAAUAUAUUAGCAUGGAAUAAUAAGAUAGGACUUUGAGUCUAUUUUGUUGGUUUGUGAAUCAAAGUAAUGAUUAAUAGGGACAGUUGGGGGUAUUCGUAUUUCAUUGUCAGAGGUGAAAUUCUCGGAUUUCUGAAAGACGAACUACUGCGAAAGCAUUUACCAAGGAUGUUUUCAUUAAUCAAGAACGAAAGUUAGGGGAUCGAAGAUGAUUAGAUACCAUCGUAGUCUUAACCAUAAACUAUGCCGACUCAGGAUUGGCGGUUGUUUUUUGACUCC